rnacentral:rRNA from 1 species
AACAGGAUUAGAUACCCUGGUAGUCCACGCUGUAAACGAUGUCGAUUUGGAGGUUGUGCCCUUGAGGCGUGGCUUCCGGAGCUAACGCGUUAAAUCGACCGCCUGGGGAGUACGGCCGCAAGGUUAAAACUCAAAUGAAUUGACGGGGGCCCGCACAAGCGGUGGAGCAUGUGGUUUAAUUCGAUGCAACGCGAAGAACCUUACCUACUCUUGACAUCCAGAGAACUUUCCAGAGAUGGAUUGGUGCCUUCGGGAACUCUGAGACAGGUGCUGCAUGGCUGUCGUCAGCUCGUGUUGUGAAAUGUUGGGUUAAGUCCCGCAACGAGCGCAACCCUUAUCCUUUGUUGCCAGCGGUUCGGCCGGGAACUCAAAGGAGACUGCCAGUGAUAAACUGGAGGAAGGUGGGGAUGACGUCAAGUCAUCAUGGCCCUUACGAGUAGGGCUACACACGUGCUUCAAUGGCGUAUACAAAGAGAAGCGACCUCGCGAGAGCAAGCGGACCUCAUAAAGUACGUCGUAGUCCGGAUUGGAGUCUGCAACUCGACUCCAUGAAGUCGGAAUCGCUAGUAAUCGUAGAUCAGAAUGCUACGGUGAAUACGUUCCCGGGCCUUGUACACACCGCCCGUCACACCAUGGGAGUGGGUUGCAAAAGAAGUAGGUAGCUUAACCUUCGGGAGGGCGCUUACCACUUUGUGAUUCAUGACUGGGGUGAAGUCGUAACAAGGUAACCGUAGGGGAACCUGCGGCUGGAUCACCUCCUU